AUACGGAGGGUGCAAGCGUUACUCGGAAUCACUGGGCGUAAAGGAUGCGUAGGCGGAUAAUCAAGUCAAAAGUGAAAUCCCACGGCUUAACCGUGGAACUGCUUUCGAAACUGGUUAUCUAGAAUAUGGAAGAGGCAGAUGGAAUUAGUGGUGUAGGGGUAAAAUCCGUAGAGAUCACUAGGAAUACCGAUUGCGAAGGCGAUCUGCUGGGACAUUAUUGACGCUGAGGCAUGAAAGCGUGGGGAGCAAACAGGAUUAGAAACCCUAGUAGUCC
rnacentral:rRNA from 1 species